rnacentral:rRNA from 1 species
GACGAACGCUGGCGGCGUGCUUAACACAUGCAAGUCGAACGGUGAAGCGCCUUCCUUUUUGGUGGGUGUGGAUGAGUGGCGAACGGGUGAGUAACACGUGAGUAACCUGCCCCCUUCUUCUGGAUAACCGCAUGAAAGUGUGGCUAAUACGGGAUAUUCUGGGUCUGUCGCAUGAUGGGUCUGGGAAAGAUAUUGUUUCGGUGGGGGAUGGGCUCGCGGCCUAUCAGCUUGUUGGUGGGGUGAUGGCCUACCAAGGCGGCGACGGGUAGCCGGCCUGAGAGGUUGACGGUCACACUGGGACUGAGACACGGCCCAGACUCCUACGGGAGGCAGCAGUGGGGAAUAUUGCACAAUGGGCGCAAGCCUGAUGCAGCGACGCCGCGUGAGGGAUGGAGGCCUUCGGGUUGUGAACCUCUUUCGCCAGUGAAGCAGGCCUGCCUCGUUUGUGGGUGGGUUGACGGUAGCUGGAUAAGAAGCGCCGGCUAACUACGUG